UGACCUCAAAUCAGGUAGGACUACCCGCUGAACUUAAGCAUAUCAAUAAGCGGAGGAAAAGAAACUAACAAGGAUUCCCCUAGUAACUGCGAGUGAAGCGGGAAAAGCUCAAAUUUAAAAUCUGGCAGUCUUUGGCUGUCCGAGUUGUAAUCUAGAGAAGUGUUAUCCGCGCUGGACCGUGUACAAGUCUCCUGGAAUGGAGCGUCAUAGAGGGUGAGAAUCCCGUCUUUGACACGGACUACCAGGGCUUUGUGAUGCGCUCUCAAAGAGUCGAGUUGUUUGGGAAUGCAGCUCAAAAUGGGUGGUAAAUUCCAUCUAAAGCUAAAUAUUGGCGAGAGACCGAUAGCGAACAAGUACCGUGAGGGAAAGAUGAAAAGAACUUUGGAAAGAGAGUUAAACAGUACGUGAAAUUGCUGAAAGGGAAACGCUUGAAGUCAGUCGCGUCGUCCAGGGAUCAACCUUGCUUUUGCUUGGUGCACUUUCUGGUUGACGGGUCAGCAUCAAUUUUGACCAUUGGAAAAAGAUUAAGGGAAUGUGACAUCUUUGGAUGUGUUAUAGCCCUUGGUUGCAUACGAUGGUUGGGAUUGAGGAACUCAGCACGCCGCAAGGCCGGGUU
rnacentral:rRNA from 1 species